rnacentral:rRNA from 1 species
CCUACGGGAGGCAGCAGUGGGGAAUUUUGGACAAUGGGCGAAAGCCUGAUCCAGCAAUGCCGCGUGAGUGAAGAAGGCCUUCGGGUUGUAAAGCUCUUUUGUCAGGGAAGAAACGGUGAGAGCUAAUAUCUUUUGCUAAUGACGGUACCUGAAGAAUAAGCACCGGCUAACUACGUGCCAGCAGCCGCGGUAAUACGUAGGGUGCAAGCGUUAAUCGGAAUUACUGGGCGUAAAGCGUGCGCAGGCGGUUUUGUAAGUCUGAUGUGAAAUCCCCGGGCUCAACCUGGGAAUUGCAUUGGAGACUGCAAGGCUAGAAUCUGGCAGAGGGGGGUAGAAUUCCACGUGUAGCAGUGAAAUGCGUAGAUAUGUGGAGGAACACCGAUGGCGAAGGCAGCCCCCUGGGUCAAGAUUGACGCUCAUGCACGAAAGCGUGGGGAGCAAACAGGAUUAGAUACCCUAGUAGUCCACGCCCUAAACGAUGUCUACUAGUUGUCGGGUCUUAAUUGACUUGGUAACGCAGCUAACGCGUGAAGUAGACCGCCUGGGGAGUACGAGUCGCAAGAUUAAAACUCAAAGGAAAUUGACGG